CCUACGGGAGGCAGCAGUAGGGAAUAUUGCUCAAUGGGGGAAACCCUGAAGCAGCAACGCCGCGUGGAGGAUGAAGGUUUUCGGAUUGUAAACUCGUUUUGUUAGAGAAGAUAAUGACGGUAUCUAACGAAUAAGCACCGGCUAACUCCGUUCCAGCAGCCGCGGUAAUACGGAGGGUGCAAGCGUUACUCGGAAUCACUGGGCGUAAAGGGCGCGUAGGCGGGAUAGCAAGUCAGAUGUGAAAUCCUAUGGCUUAACCAUAGAACUGCAUUUGAAACUGUUAUUCUAGAGUAUGGGAGAGGUAGGUGGAAUUCUUGGUGUAGGGGUAAAAUCCGUAGAGAUCAAGAGGAAUACUCAUUGCGAAGGCGACCUGCUAGAACAUAACUGACGCUGAUGCGCGAAAGCGUGGGGAGCAAACAGGAUUAGAUACCCGGGUAGUC
rnacentral:rRNA from 1 species